rnacentral:rRNA from 2 species
UGUUGCUUCGGCGGGCCCGCCUUAACUGGCCGCCGGGGGGCUUACGCCCCCGGGCCCGCGCCCGCCGAAGACACCCUCGAACUCUGUCUGAAGAUUGUAGUCUGAGUGAAAAUAUAAAUUAUUUAAAACUUUCAACAACGGAUCUCUUGGUUCCGGCAUCGAUGAAGAACGCAGCGAAAUGCGAUACGUAAUGUGAAUUGCAAAUUCAGUGAAUCAUCGAGUCUUUGAACGCACAUUGCGCCCCCUGGUAUUCCGGGGGGCAUGCCUGUCCGAGCGUCAUUGCUGCCCUCAAGCACGGCUUGUGUGUUGGGCCCCGUCCUCCGAUCCCGGGGGACGGGCCCGAAAGGCAGCGGCGGCACCGCGUCCGGUCCUCGAGCGUAUGGGGCUUUGUCACCCGCUCUGUAGGCCCGGCCGGCGCUUGCCGAUCAACCCAAAUUUUUAUCCAGGUUGACCUCGGAUCAGGUAGGGAUACCCGCUGAACUUAAGCAUAUCA